UGAGGAAUAUUGGUCAAUGGGCGCAAGCCUGAACCAGCCAUCCCGCGUGCAGGAUGACAGCCCUAUGGGUUGUAAACUGCUUUUAUACACCAAGAAAACUUCAGACGAGUCUGAACCUGACGGUAGUGUAUGAAUAAGCAUCGGCUAACUCCGUGCCAGCAGCCGCGGUAAUACGGAGGAUGCAAGCGUUAUCCGGAUUCAUUGGGUUUAAAGGGUGCGUAGGCGGCUUUUUAAGUCAGUGGUGAAAUCUUGCCGCUUAACGGUAAAAUUGCCAUUGAUACUGAGAAGCUUGAGUACAAUUGAGGUAAGCGGAAUGUGUAGUGUAGCGGUGAAAUGCUUAGAUAUUACACAGAACACCGAUUGCGAAGGCAGCUUACUAAACUGUUACUGACGCUGAUGCACGAAAGCGUGGGGAGCGAACA
rnacentral:rRNA from 1 species